rnacentral:lncRNA from 1 species
GACAGGCAGAGAGACACAGGCAGAGGGAGAAGUAGGCUCCAUGCAGGGAGACCGAUGUGGGACUUGAUCCCGUGUCUCCAGGAUCAUGCCUUGAGCUGAAGGCAGGUGCCAAACCUGCUGAGCCACCCAAAGAUGCCAGGAUGCUUUUUGUUGUUUGUUUUUUGUUUGUUUUACUUGUAGCAAGAAUUAUUAUCAAACUCCACUCAUUGGGCUAGAGACCCUUGUGGUUUUAGUGCAAGACUUGCCCCUCAUGCAGCACUUCACCUACGCUUGUGAGUUCCUCGGUCAGUCGGCAGCCUCAACGCCAGGCUUUAACAAUGUGCAGCCUGGGAUGGUUUUAAGUCUGUUUCUUUUUCCUGUUUCAAAGAUGGAUGUUGUAAUAUAUAUUUUUUCUCACUGCUGGGGGUGAAGUCCUCAUGGCCAACUGGGAAACUGAAAAAAAGGGACUUGGACCUGGAUGGUCUAUCAUAUUUGAACUUUGACCUUCACAGAGAAUGAAG